UACAGAGGGGGCAAGCGUUGUUCGGAAUUACUGGGCGUAAAGAGCGUGUAGGCGGCUCGCUAAGUCUUGCGUGAAAUCUCGGGGCUCAACCCCGAGCGGUCGUGAGAAACUGGCGGGCUAGAGUGCGGGAGAGGAGAGUGGAAUUCCUGGUGUAGCGGUGAAAUGCGCAGAUAUCAGGAAGAACACCCGUGGCGAAGGCGGCUCUCUGGAACGCAACUGACGCUGAGACGCGAAAGCGUGGGGAGCAAACAGG
rnacentral:rRNA from 1 species